AUGGUUCAACAUAUGAAAGGUUUGAUUGUGCAAAGGCAAUUGUCUUCUUGUCCCAGCCUCCUAAUUUUCCUGGAAAUUAAGGUCACAUUUGCCGUGACACAGCUCAACUCAAGCGGAUCUGUGAGAAACAGCUGGAUUUCAGCAAAAGUAAGCCAAUUGUCCCAGCUAACAUCGAUGCUAAAUGUCAGAACUGAUACUGAAACCCAGGGCCUCUUAUUUGUGGUCCAGUGCUACCACCUGGCCCCCUCUCCCCCACUUCCUUGA
rnacentral:lncRNA from 1 species